rnacentral:rRNA from 1 species
GUUUAAGGCCAUGCCACCCUCAAGGCACUGGACCUUGUCUGACUUCAGAAGCUAAGCAGGGUAGGAUUUGGUUAGUACUUCAUGGGAAAAGUGAGCUAUGUCCUUUGGGGGGCCAAAACAUCAAGAA